GGGAACGAUGCAAAGGUCUCUGCCUCGUCCUGCGGUUAAGAGUUGCUGUGCUAAGAGCCCUGGCCGCCGCGAACCUCAAGCUCGGUUUCGCAUUUGUCUCCGGUCCCUUUCUGCUUCUAGCAGCGGGUUGAGUGGUUGGUCCCAGGAGCCCAGGUUCUCUCCUUCCUCAGAGCCUUAGGUAGGGACCCAAGUUCUGACAAACCGAAGAAGGGUGUGUCCUGCAGAAGUUUCUCAAAGGCUAGGCUACAGCAGAUGUCCAGCGAUGCUGUCCACGGAAGGGAAAGAAGACAGAAACCGUAGCUUUUCCAGAUCGCACAAGUAAUGUGCCCAAACUGCAAAAAGACAGCGCACACCAACUGAAAGGAACCACCUGUGACUGUGCCUGUCCGAGAAGAUCACGUUUAGAGUUAGGGACAAAUGUCCAUCCUCGAAAAGGAGACCAUAAGCACAAUGGGUUCUCACUAUUUUGGGCUGAAAUAAUGCAACAGUUCUCUGGCCUAAUUGGUUCUUAAAAGCUGGUGGGGAAAAUAGUAAAAACAAAAUCUGCCAACCCAGAAACUCCUCUGCACAAAUGCAGGAAGUGAAGACAACCGUUUUAAUCCCGAGGAAGCAUUGAGCCAGACUGUGAUGCGCAUCCUAGGCGAACCACUAAGGAGACUGCAGGAGGACGCCUCGCCUUUCUAAUACCAAGCAGGGACCCUCCAGCCCGCGCACCCGGGCUCAGGAUAAACUGCAGCACUUGACGCACCGUGGGCUCGCCAUUCUCACAGGACUCAUCCUGAGUUCAUCUGGUAAUCGAGGUGGUCGUCGGAGCUCUUGCCUUUAUCCCAACGAAAAGCAAAACUUCUCACAUCUUUGUGACAAGCAGGUAGAUACAGCUCAGAGUAGGGUGCCUGCACCAAACUCCCAAGGUGACAGGGACAUAGGGACGCUGUCUUCCUCAAGGUUUACAUCUUAGAGAGAUGACUCAGGCCUAGAAAUGCAUUCCUGGCUGGAAUGCUGGCAAGCAGUUUAUACCACUUUUUAAAAGAUUUAGAUGUGAAUCAAAGGGAGACAGGAAAUAUUUCUAGGACCAGUUCUCUAAAGGAGAACCUCUGCAAAAGGGAGAAGAGAGACAGUCUCUACCUUUUGUCAACAAGCAAAAUGUAAUCUUUUAUUUAAUAUUUAUUAAGUUCUCAAUUUACAAUGCUGAGGAUGGAACCCAGCUCAGCCAGCACUCUUCCACUGAGCCACACACCCAGUCCCAUCUUAAAAACAAAACAAAAACCUAUAAGAUGCAAAUAACAAUGUCCAAGAAUAUGGUAAAAGUAAAGGCUAAAAAUAAUAUAUUCAGGAUAAUGAACACAAUGUAUUUUAACAUAAAGAUGCACUUUCACAAGAAUAUUUUAAAUAAUAAAUCCAUGUGUGUGAUAAUUACAAAGUACUCCAGAAUUCUUUUAACCUUUAAAAAAAUUUUUUUAAGUUGGAGUUGGAUACACAAUAUCUUUAUUUAUUUGUAUGGUACUGAGGAUCGAACUCAGUGCCUUAUACAUGCUUGGAAGGGGUGCGCUACCCCUGAGCUAGCCCCGCCCCCUUUAAAAACUUUUAUUUAUUUUCAUGCAGUGCUGGCCUAACACGUGUUAGGCAAGCGCUCUACCUUUGAGCUACACUCCCAGCCCCAUCCAAAAAGUUUUUUUAAAGGAAAAUUACAAUAUAAAAAAUAUGAUGUGCACUUAAGAUAGGGCAAAAAUCAAAUCCCACAUUCUCCAGCAGGUUUUUGUCUCUGUGGUGUUGGGUAAGUCAGGUAAGCUUUCCUUCUUGACCUGUAGUUGUAGGUCAUUAAGUAGGUGAUGACUGGUGUCAACCACUUCAGUCUCAGCACCUGCCACCAGCCACCUGGAUGAAUAAGGCAAACAUUUGACCCCACUCCAGUGCCUCCUUGAGCCCACAAAGCACCCCUGCACUCUGCACACCAAUGCAGGUGUGUCAGAUGGUUGUAGAAACAUAGGUCCUUGUCCAGGAGCUAGAUAGAAUAAGGAUCCACAUGGGAUGAGGCAGCUGGGAACCAAGAUGGGGAAGCAGGUCAGAGUGAGCAAUGGGAAUGAAACCCAAGCUCUGGAAUGAGGGUUUCCAGAUGUUUGCUUGCAGCAGAGAGGAGAUGGAGAGGGGCCACCUUUGUAAAAAAGCUUCAGAGCAGGUGAAUUUGGGGGCCCCAGCAAGCAGACCCAAGCUUCAGCUCCAGCUGUCACUUAUGCUAUGUGACUAGGGCAACUUUCUGAGCCCAGUUCUCUUAUCUAACAAAAGAGGGACAAAGAAUGAAUCAAACAACUUAUCUCUCCCAGCAUUCUUUCCAGACAGGGUUUAACAUUAUUGUGGCUGACAAAGAGAGAUUUGCGAGGACCAGCUCCAUGAUCACAGAAUAAUCAAAAGGGUGAAUUUACAACUAAGGGACAAUGAAAGCAUAAUGGAUGUAUAUUUACGUCUAUACGUCAGCACAUCCAGCCCUUCAUUUUGUCUUUAGAAUGAAAAUAUUCUUUCAUAUGGAUGAAACACGUUUUUUUUACCCAUUCAUCCACUGGAGGACAUUGGUGUGGUUUUCCUUCUUUGGCUUCCAUGAAUCAUACCGCUGUGAACAUAUGUGUACAGAUCCUUUGGGUACCUGUCUUCAUUUCUUUGGGGAUAUAUAUGCAGGAGUAGAAUUGCUGGAUCACAGUGGGAGUCUAUGUUUAACUUGUAGGGGAGCCACCAAACUGUUUCCACCAUUUAUAAUUCCAUGGGAAAUGUUAAAGGAGUUUUAGUUUCU
rnacentral:lncRNA from 1 species